CAGCGUUCUCAGGGCGGGGUGAAAUUCCCCACCGGCGGUGUUUGCAGGCAACUGCAUCAGCCCGCGAGCGCCCGCGCCUCUUCACCGAGGCGCGGGGUCAGCAGAUUUGGUUCAACUCCAAAGCCGACGGUCACAGUCCGGAUGAAAGAGAGCGCGA
rnacentral:ncRNA from 2 species